GACAGAGGGUGCAAACGUUGUUCGGAAUUACUGGGCGUAAAGCGCGUGUAGGCGGUCUCGCAAGUCGGGUGUGAAAGCCCAGGGCUCAACCCUGGAAGUGCAUUCGAUACUGCGAGGCUAGAGUCCCGGAGAGGAUGGUGGAACUCUCGGUGUAGAGGUGAAAUUCGUAGAUAUCGAGAAGAACACCGGUGGCGAAGGCGGCCAUCUGGACGGUGACUGACGCUGAGGAGCGAAAGCAUGGGGAGCGAACAGG
rnacentral:rRNA from 1 species